AACGAACGCUGGCGGCAGGCCUAACACAUGCAAGUCGAACGCCGUAGCAAUACGGAGUGGCAGACGGGUGAGUAACGCGUGGGAACCUACCUUACGGUCGGGAAUAGCUCAGGGAAACUUGGGGUAAUACCGGAUAAGCCCUUACGGGGAAAGAUUUAUCGCCGUUAGAUGGGCCCGCGUAGGAUUAGCUAGUUGGUGAGGUAAUGGCUCACCAAGGCGACGAUCCUUAGCUGGUCUGAGAGGAUGAUCAGCCACACUGGGACUGAGACACGGCCCAGACUCCUACGGGAGGCAGCAGUGGGGAAUAUUGGACAAUGGGCGCAAGCCUGAUCCAGCCAUGCCGCGUGAGUGACGAAGGCCUUAGGGUUGUAAAGCUCUUUUGGCGGGGAAGAUAAUGACGGUACCCGCAGAAUAAGCUCCGGCUAACUUCGUGCCAGCAGCCGCGGUAAAAUCACGUGUAC
rnacentral:rRNA from 1 species